AGAGUUUGAUCCUGGCUCAGAACGAACGCUGGCGGCGCGUUUUAAGCAUGCAAGUCGAACGGUAACCAUCCUUCGGGAUGGCUAGAGUGGCGGACGGGUGAGUAACACGUAGGUGAUCUGCCCUUGAGUUGGGGAUAGCCCAUGGAAACAUGGGGUAAUACCGAAUACGUUCCGGACCUUAUGGGGACUGGAAGAAAAGCGCUUCGGCGCUGCUCGAGGAUGAGCCUGCGGCUGAUUAGUUAGUUGGCGGGGUAACGGCCCACCAAGGCAACGAUCAGUAGCCGGCCUGAGAGGGUGAACGGCCACACUGGGACUGAGAUACGGCCCAGACUCCUACGGGAGGCAGCAGCUAAGAAUCUUCUGCAAUGGACGAAAGUCUGACAGAGCGACGCCGCGUGGGUGAAGAAGGCCGGAAGGUUGUAAAACCCUUUUCUAUUCGAGGAAUAACCGCAGGAGGCAAUGCCUGCGAGAUGACGGUAGGGUAGGAAUAAGCCCCGGCCAAUUACGUGCCAGCAGCCGCGGUAACACGUAUGGGGCGAGCGUUGUUC
rnacentral:rRNA from 1 species